rnacentral:tRNA from 1 species
GGCCACUUGGCGCAAUGGUAGCGCGUUGGGCUUCGAUUGCUCAACGUAUAACCCAAAGGCUGCAGGUUCGAGCCCUGCAGUGGUCA